CGGUGAUCACCUGGUGCACCGCAUCAGAGAUGACAAGCACCUGUUCAACAACAACCCAGAAUGAACAAGUCUUUAACGGCCAACUGUUGAUGAAAAAUCUGAGGUACUAAAGGACAUCACCUCAGUCACUAACAAACUGUCAAAUGAACUCCAACUCCAAGUUCCAAAUUCCCUGUCUGUGCAACAGCAACCACCAGAGCACAGAAGGUCAGAAAGUCUGCUACAGCCAGAAGGCAUCACAAGAAGAAUGCAACAUAGGAGACAAGUUUUGCAACUCAGCUUCACACAGCCAUGCCAAACUGCCUCCGACUGUCUGCCAAAGAACUUCCUGCCUUGCUGGACUGACCCUCAUUAGACCAUGGACACGCCCUCAUCCAAGCCAAGGAUGCAGAGAGCCAGUCUUAAGUGACAUGCUAGAAAAAGGGGGAGACAACACAGACUUGAACAGAUCUGACCACACAUUACCUACACCCAGAGGUAAACACAUCUACUGACAACACAGACUUGAACAGAUCUGACCACACAUUACCUACACCCAGAGGUAAACACAUCUACUGAUAACACAGUCAACAAACAUAUUCUUCCCACAGGUAGAAUAUCCAACUUUUAGUGUAACAAAGUUACACAUACCCACCAUGAAGAAAAGUGCAGCCAUCCUCACAAUAGGUAGAACACCUGACACUAAGUUAAGGUUCAUGACACACUAGCUGCACCUGACAUCCUAGCUCAAUAGUCGUUGUAACCCAUGCUAGGAAAACCCACAGCAGCCUUGUUUUGUUUUGUUCUUCUUCUACCUAUCCUUCUCCUUCCCCUCUUUCCUGAGUAGGUGAAAUGCCUAGACACCCUGCGAGGGUCGAAGGUCUGAUAUUAGGAUUGACUCGCAACACCUAAUAUCCGCCAGCCACUCUAAACUGAAUGGAAGCCAGAGAGCUCCAUGCAUGAUAGGUCAAUUCAUUGAAUUGAAAAUGAAAUUACUAGAAAACUAAUGGUAAACAUGUAAAGUAAGACAACCUAGAAGAACCAAACAAAGUUAACCACAGAUUUGAUUGAUGAAUCAAAAUAAAAACAAUUUCCAAGACGAUCUAAACUAUCCUCAAUGUGCUAAACUACAUUGACUAAUUGAACUUAACCACGUGUACCUAAAUAACCUGAUGCCUGCACCAGUACAGUAACUGUCAUGGAGGUGUUGUCUUGCUGUUUGUCUGCUUCUUCUGCCUUUGUUUCUCCAGCGAUCGACGAUGUCUUCACCUAAACACCUCGCCGAUCGAAAGGGGGAUAUAUGUAGCAGAAAUGAGUCAAAUCAGACAAAUCAAAGAGUCUAUCAGAGCUGUGUGCAUUGAAACAUGAGCUGAAUUCCUCAGGAAGUCAUAAAUCAGUUCUAGUGCCACAAGAACCAAGCAAGAUAACCAACCAACCAACUUGUUCACACAACAGCUUUCAACAUUAACACCAAUAGAACAAUUAUUGACAAUUUUAAUUCGAAGAAGAGAUUGUCAAAUUUAUUGUUCGUGAUUGGAAUGACGCUGGACAUCACAUGUAAACCCAGGAGAUCAAGUUAAAUACUUGCAUUGACUUCCCCCCCCAGCCAGUGAAACCAGACUGAAAUUCCUAAGGGGAAGGGCUUUAAACCUUUGUCUUCACAGAAAAGUCCCUUUGCCAGAGAAUGGCAAAGAAACUGCUUUUUAUACAUUAUAUAUGGACCAGAAUGAACUCAAAAAAGACUUAUGAAUGAAUCAUUCCAUUGCUUAACUCCAUAUUCAUUUACGUGUAACCCACACAUUUGACUAUCAUGUAUAAUCACUUAUUGUGUAUGUCUUUUGAUAACUAUAGGAUACCUAGUCAUGUCUAGUAUUCAAAUAAUCGCAUUUUCUUGCUUGAUAUUGUCCUGACAAUCAUUUAUUUGUAAAAUAUAUCAUAAUCAAGUUAUAGGAAUCAUGUCCAAAAUUAGACCCUGUGAGGCAAGAACCACAUGCUUGGUAAGAUAAACAAUGAUUUAUGAUACCCCAGACCCCAGGACCAUAUCUGAUUGGUCAAGGCAACAUUUGAGGGGUGGCCAACAAGGAAGUUUAAAAACUUUGGACACGAUUAAAUCUUGCUUUUAGUUCUAGUCUGCCAGCUGCUAUUAGCCAUGUCGGCUUUUAGUCUGCUUUUAGUUCCAGCCUUGCUCGUGCUAUCAGUCAUGCCUGCUCUUAGCUUGUAGCUUUGCUACCUAGCUUUAGCUUGUAGCAUCUAGCCAUGUGGUUAGUCAUCAUGGUUCUUUGAGCGCGGUUCCAGCGUGCCUGCCUGCUGCUACUUAUGCCACAAUGAGAAGGAACACAACCUAGUCUCGUCAAACUUUAUUUCUUUCAUUUCCGUUUGAGAGUUUCGUGUUCCGAGUUAAGUUUUGUAACGUCCAUUCAACUUCAACCAGCGAACACGACUCUGCACUUUCAGCCAACGCCCAACAACCACGGGCUUCCCAAGACGUCACUUCACUACUGAACUUCAAGCCAAUCAGCGACACCGGGAUACCCCUUUCAACUGGAGUCCCUUUCACAGCAAACUAAGGCAACGUAUUCCCAGAUAUUUGUUGUGCUGGUGUAUCUAAUAUAAUUUUAACCCCAUUGAGGAACUCAAUGCGAGUGCUAAUUACGUGAUUGAUGGUUGUUCAUGUCUAUGCAAUUUAACGUAUUGCUGUAAACUUGGGAUUCCAUAUUUCCAUUCUCUUAAACUCAUCUUUCCCUAACUUUCGACCUUCCUGCAACUUGUGUGAAUGUGUGUGUGCGUGCGUUUAUGUGUUAGAUUAGUUUAUAUGUCUUAGAUUUAUCUAAUAAAGCCUUAUUCAUAUUGAAAGAGAAGUAUCUUGUGUUUUGUGCUUACAAGUUAAUGUCUUAAACUGCCGAUCUUGUUACUGUGGCUAAUUGAUAGUGUUUUCACUAUAGUUUGGAUGUUAGUAUCCAGCGCAGAUUUGAUGUUAAACGGCUCGUUCACUGAACCGCAGGCGCGUCUCCGUGAACAGCCGUGAAACAGUGAUUCUGUUCAAAUUCCCUUUAAAAUCUUAAAUGAUUCCCUUUGAGCUAAAUUGACCUGUUUCCCUUACAUUUAUAAUGGUGGAGAAAAUGCGGGCAGUUUAAUCUAAAUUGUGAGCAUAAACCAAGUUAUUUAAUCUUUGAUUUUUGCUAAAGGAAUGAAAGAUGAGAAGCAUGCGAGACCUGAGUAUGUGUGUGUACGCGUGACGUAAGCAGCGCGCGCCUCCCGCUUGAAUGAAAGGAGCUAGAGGAGACUUUAACCCGAGUCCGUCUCCCCUUUGUUAACAGCAGUAAGUGAACUUAAAAAGUAAACAUCUGAGAUCGUACAAUAAGGUAAAAAUUGAGCGUGUUCCUCAUUUGUGUAAUGCCUUGUUUUAUAGCUGAUUUGAUUUCACUGCGUGUCCCAGUGUCUCAAACGCUAUCUCAGUCACUGUUUGCUGAACGGAGCUAAAACUGUUAGUGUUUCAAAAGGGAUAUAAAUCGGUGAAUAAAGAGAAUAGUUUUGAGCGGGUUCCUCAAUCUAUUUAUCAAAGUCCCCGUAUUCAUAGUUCAUAUAGUUUGAUUGCCAGUGCGUGUUCCACUGCCGAAUCAAAUUUGAUAUUCGACUCCCCUACGUUAACGUUAAACAUUAGAGAACAAUGUUUGCCCAUUUGUAUCCGUUCACAAAGUGAAUGCAAUCUCGCGUAACACUGCGUGUGUCCGAGAGUAAUUUGAAUGGGAGUGUUUUAAAAGCUUGAUCAAGUAAAGUUUAACUGUGUACCAACAGCGAAGGAAAACUUUUAUGUUUGUGUCCAGAAAACUGGCACGGAGAUUCAAAUUGCUGAGAUUGAUAU
rnacentral:lncRNA from 1 species